UACGAAGGGGGCGAGCGUUGUUCGGAAUUACUGGGCGUAAAGGGCGCGUAGGCGGCGAACCAAGUCAGAUGUGAAAGUCCUGGGCUUAACCUGGGGACUGCAUUUGAUACUGGUUUGCUUGAAUUCGGGAGAGGAUAGCGGAAUUCCCAGUGUAGAGGUGAAAUGCGUAGAUACUGGGAGGAACACCAGUGGCGAAGGCGGCUACCUGGACCGGUUCUGACGCUGAGGCGCGAAAGCGUGGGUAGCAAACAGG
rnacentral:rRNA from 1 species